rnacentral:rRNA from 1 species
UAGGGAAUCUUCGGCAAUGGACGAAAGUCUGACCGAGCAACGCCGCGUGAGUGAAGAAGGUGUUCGGAUCGUAAAACUCUGUUGUUAGAGAAGAACAAGGACGUUAGUAACUGAACGUCCCCUGACGGUAUCUAACCAGAAAGCCACGGCUAACUACGUGCCAGCAGCCGCGGUAAUACGUAGGUGGCAAGCGUUGUCCGGAUUUAUUGGGCGUAAAGCGAGCGCAGGCGGUUUCUUAAGUCUGAUGUGAAAGCCCCCGGCUCAACCGGGGAGGGUCAUUGGAAACUGGGAGACUUGAGUGCAGAAGAGGGGAGUGGAAUUCCAUGUGUAGCGGUGAAAUGCGUAGAUAUAUGGAGGAACACCAGUGGCGAAGGCGGCUCUCUGGUCUGUAACUGACGCUGAGGCUCGAAAGCGUGGGGAGCAAACAGG